GCAGUGACAGUUCAGCGGUAGAAUUCUCACCUUCCAUGUGGGAGAUCCAGGUUCAAUUCUUGGCCAAUGCA
rnacentral:tRNA from 1 species